AUGGGGAGAGGAACUUGUUCCUCGAGUCGUUGAUUUCACACUGCCGAGAAAAGCCUCUAGCUAGAAUAACGGUGCCCGUACCGCAAACCGACACAGGUAGUCAAGAUGAGAAUUCUAAGGUGAGCGAGCGAACUCUCGUUAAGGAACUCGGCAAAAUGACCCCGUAACUUCGGGAGAAGGGGUGCUCUUUGAGGUUCACGCUUCGAAGAGCCGCAGUGAAUAGGCCCAAGCGACUGUUUAUCAAAAACACAGGUCUCUGCUAAACCGUAAGGUGACGUAUAGGGGCUGACGCCUGCCCGGUGCUGGAAGGUUAAGAGGAGUGGUUAGCGCAAGCGAAGCUACGAAUCGAAGCCCCAGUAAACGGCGGCCGUAACUAUAACGGUCCUAAGGUAGCGAAAUUCCUUGUCGGGUAAGUUCCGACCCGCACGAAAGGCGUAACGAUUUGGGCACUGUCUCAACGAGAGACUCGGUGAAAUCAUAGUACCGGUGAAGAUGCCGGUUACCCGCGACAGGACGGAAAGACCCCGUGGAGCUUUACUGUAGCCUGAUAUUGAAAUUCGGUACAGUUUGUACAGGAUAGGUAGGAGCCUUAGAAGCGUGAGCGCUAGCUUACGUGGAGGCAUUGGUGGGAUACUACCCUAAUUGUAUUGGAUUUCUAACCCGCAGCACUUAUCGUGCUGGGAGACAGUGUCAGGCGGGCAGUUUGACUGGGGCGGUCGCCUCCUAAAGAGUAACGGAGGCGCUCAAAGGUUCCCUCAGAAUGGUUGGAAAUCAUUCAUAGAGUGUAAAGGCAUAAGGGAGCUUGACUGCGAGACCUACAAGUCGAGCAGGGUCGAAAGACGGACUUAGUGAUCCGGUGGUUCCGCAUGGAAGGGCCAUCGCUCAACGGAUAAAAGCUACCCCGGGGAUAACAGGCUUAUCUCCCCCAAGAGUUCACAUCGACGGGGAGGUUUGGCACCUCGAUGUCGGCUCAUCGCAUCCUGGGGCUGUAGUCGGUCCCAAGGGUUGGGCUGUUCGCCCAUUAAAGCGGUACGCGAGCUGGGUUCAGAACGUCGUGAGACAGUUCGGUCCCUAUCCGUCGUGGGCGUAGGAAAUUUGAGAGGAGCUGUCCUUAGUACGAGAGGACCGGGAUGGACAUACCUCUGGUGUACCAGUUGUCGUGCCAACGGCAUAGCUGGGUAGCUAUGUAUGGACGGGAUAAGUGCUGAAAGCAUCUAAGCAUGAAGCCCCCCUCGAGAUGAGAUUUCCCAACUUC
rnacentral:rRNA from 1 species